GGAGAGGUGGCAGAGUGGUUGAAUGCGCCGCACUCGAAAUGCGGUAUAGGUGUAAGCCUAUCGGGGGUUCGAAUCCCCCCCUCUCCGCCA
rnacentral:tRNA from 1 species